GAUUAAGUUAUUAAGGGCGCACGGUGGAUGCCUUGGCACUAGAAGCCGAUGAAGGACGUUACUAACGACGAUAUGCUUUGGGGAGCUGUAAGUAAGCUUUGAUCCAGAGAUUUCCGAAUGGGGAAACCCAGCAUGAGUUAUGUCAUGUUAUCGAUAUGUGAAUACAUAGCAUAUCAGAAGGCACACCCGGAGAACUGAAACAUCUUAGUACCCGGAGGAAGAGAAAGAAAAUUCGAUUCCCUUAGUAGCGGCGAGCGAAACGGGAAGAGCCCAAACCAACAAGCUUGCUUGUUGGGGUUGUAGGACACUCUAUACGGAGUUACAAAGGACGACAUUAGACGAAUCAUCUGGAAAGAUGAAUCAAAGAAGGUAAUAAUCCUGUAGUCGAAAAUGUUGUCUCUCUUGAGUGGAUCCUGAGUACGACGGAGCACGUGAAAUUCCGUCGGAAUCUGGGAGGACCAUCUCCUAAGGCUAAAUACUCUCUAGUGACCGAUAGUGAACCAGUACCGUGAGGGAAAGGUGAAAAGCACCCCGGAAGGGGAGUGAAAUAGAACCUGAAACCGUGUGCUUACAAGUAGUCAGAGCCCGUUAAUGGGUGAUGGCGUGCCUUUUGUAGAAUGAACCGGCGAGUUACGAUUUGAUGCAAGGUUAAGCAGUAAAUGUGGAGCCGUAGCGAAAGCGAGUCUGAAUAGGGCGUUUAGUAUUUGGUCGUAGACCCGAAACCAGGUGAUCUACCCUUGGUCAGGUUGAAGUUCAGGUAACACUGAAUGGAGGACCGAACCGACUUACGUUGAAAAGUGAGCGGAUGAACUGAGGGUAGCGGAGAAAUUCCAAUCGAACCUGGAGAUAGCUGGUUCUCUCCGAAAUAGCUUUAGGGCUAGCCUCAAGUGAUGAUUAUUGGAGGUAGAGCACUGUUUGGACGAGGGGCCCCUCUCGGGUUACCGAAUUCAGACAAACUCCGAAUGCCAAUUAAUUUAACUUGGGAGUCAGAACAUGGGUGAUAAGGUCCGUGUUCGAAAGGGAAACAGCCCAGACCACCAGCUAAGGUCCCAAAAUAUAUGUUAAGUGGAAAAGGAUGUGGCGUUGCCCAGACAACUAGGAUGUUGGCUUAGAAGCAGCCAUCAUUUAAAGAGUGCGUAAUAGCUCACUAGUCGAGUGACACUGCGCCGAAAAUGUACCGGGGCUAAACAUAUUACCGAAGCUGUGGAUUGUCCUUUGGACAAUGGUAGGAGAGCGUUCUAAGGGCGUUGAAGCAUGAUCGUAAGGACAUGUGGAGCGCUUAGAAGUGAGAAUGCCGGUGUGAGUAGCGAAAGACGGGUGAGAAUCCCGUCCACCGAUUGACUAAGGUUUCCAGAGGAAGGCUCGUCCGCUCUGGGUUAGUCGGGUCCUAAGCUGAGGCCGACAGGCGUAGGCGAUGGAUAACAGGUUGAUAUUCCUGUACCACCUAUAAUCGUUUUAAUCGAUGGGGGGACGCAGUAGGAUAGGCGAAGCGUGCGAUUGGAUUGCACGUCUAAGCAGUAAGGCUGAGUAUUAGGCAAAUCCGGUACUCGUUAAGGCUGAGCUGUGAUGGGGAGAAGACAUUGUGUCUUCGAGUCGUUGAUUUCACACUGCCGAGAAAAGCCUCUAGAUAGAAAAUAGGUGCCCGUACCGCAAACCGACACAGGUAGUCAAGAUGAGAAUUCUAAGGUGAGCGAGCGAACUCUCGUUAAGGAACUCGGCAAAAUGACCCCGUAACUUCGGGAGAAGGGGUGCUCUUUAGGGUUAACGCCCAGAAGAGCCGCAGUGAAUAGGCCCAAGCGACUGUUUAUCAAAAACACAGGUCUCUGCUAAACCGUAAGGUGAUGUAUAGGGGCUGACGCCUGCCCGGUGCUGGAAGGUUAAGAGGAGUGGUUAGCUUCUGCGAAGCUACGAAUCGAAGCCCCAGUAAACGGCGGCCGUAACUAUAACGGUCCUAAGGUAGCGAAAUUCCUUGUCGGGUAAGUUCCGACCCGCACGAAAGGCGUAACGAUUUGGGCACUGUCUCAACGAGAGACUCGGUGAAAUCAUAGUACCUGUGAAGAUGCAGGUUACCCGCGACAGGACGGAAAGACCCCGUGGAGCUUUACUGUAGCCUGAUAUUGAAAUUCGGCACAGCUUGUACAGGAUAGGUAGGAGCCUUUGAAACGUGAGCGCUAGCUUACGUGGAGGCGCUGGUGGGAUACUACCCUAGCUGUGUUGGCUUUCUAACCCGCACCACUUAUCGUGGUGGGAGACAGUGUCAGGCGGGCAGUUUGACUGGGGCGGUCGCCUCCUAAAAGGUAACGGAGGCGCUCAAAGGUUCCCUCAGAAUGGUUGGAAAUCAUUCAUAGAGUGUAAAGGCAUAAGGGAGCUUGACUGCGAGACCUACAAGUCGAGCAGGGUCGAAAGACGGACUUAGUGAUCCGGUGGUUCCGCAUGGAAGGGCCAUCGCUCAACGGAUAAAAGCUACCCCGGGGAUAACAGGCUUAUCUCCCCCAAGAGUUCACAUCGACGGGGAGGUUUGGCACCUCGAUGUCGGCUCAUCGCAUCCUGGGGCUGUAGUCGGUCCCAAGGGUUGGGCUGUUCGCCCAUUAAAGCGGUACGCGAGCUGGGUUCAGAACGUCGUGAGACAGUUCGGUCCCUAUCCGUCGUGGGCGUAGGAAAUUUGAGAGGAGCUGUCCUUAGUACGAGAGGACCGGGAUGGACAUACCUCUGGUGUACCAGUUGUCGUGCCAACGGCAUAGCUGGGUAGCUAUGUGUGGACGGGAUAAGUGCUGAAAGCAUCUAAGCAUGAAGCCCCCCUCAAGAUGAGAUUUCCCAACUUCGGUUAUAAGAUCCCUCAAAGAUGAUGAGGUUAAUAGGUUCGAGGUGGAAGCAUGGUGACAUGUGGAGCUGACGAAUACUAAUCGAUCGAGGGCUUAACCAA
rnacentral:rRNA from 1 species